rnacentral:lncRNA from 1 species
CAGGCAGCCGCAGGUGGAUCUUCAUACAAGGCCAGAUUUCUACCACAGUUCAGUCUCAGAGUUUAACACUUCUCUAACAGCCACGUAGAACAGACAUUCUUCAGCUAGGAGUUUGAAGGCUCCCCAGUCGAGCCUCACAAUUGCCCACCCAAUCCUUUCUACCGCUGGGAUGCCCAUGCACCAGCAGUUACCAAGAAAGAAGACACAAACUAUAGCUGCAACACUGAGGGAUCCAGGGAAGGUGAGACCUUUGACAUGGAAGCUAGAGCUGAGUUGGCCAAAGAAACCUGGGGAGAAGGACCACGAAGCCCCAGGUGGGUAGCACCACGUAAGUGGAAAUCCACCACCACAUGUGCCACUACACACAGCUCAUAGAUUCCUUUUGUUUUCUUUUUCAGUGGACACUGAGUAAAUUUAUAUUUUCUUGUACAG